rnacentral:lncRNA from 13 species
AUGUUUGUACAUAUGGAUGUCAAGAAGCCUUUAAUAUUCAUAAUCUACAUAUUGUAUUAUGUAGCCACGUGUGUUUUGGGCAACCAUGACGCAGCUUGCAGAUACAGGACAACCAGGGUUUCCAAUAGAGGAGGUGAAAUGGUGUCUUGUUUUGAGCCAAGAGGAAGUAAUGACCCUGUGUGCGGGACAGGAUUGAAAAGCUUGGAGGGCUGCUGUGUUUACAUUAAAGACGACCAUUCGUGGUUGAAGUGGGACGAGAAAACAACAUUGAGAUGUGACAGCACACAUUAUGGGAACAGCGAUGGUGAAUGUGCCAGCAAUCAAUCCAGACAGCAGAACACUACCCAGAACGGGACACCCACUGCCAGCCCAAGAGAUAGACUGUUCCUGUUAAUCCCAGUCAGCAUGGUAGCUGUGAUUCUACUGGCAUCCUACAAACACAGGAAGAAGUCGGACUCUAGAUAGACUGUUCCUGUUAAUCCCAGUCAGCAUGGUAGCUGUGAUUCUACUGGCAUCCUAAAAACACAGGAAGAAGUCGGACUCUAGGUUUUUUUGUUGUCCUUGAUGGCUUUUGUUUUGGCAAUAUUUUAAGUUUUUUCUCUUUUGUUCAUUUUGCCGGUUGUUGGUGCGUUGGGGGAUGGUGACUUGGGGGGGAGAGGGGGUCUCAGGGGAACUGUGUGGGGGAUCUUGGAGGGCUGGUGGCCUGGCGGUUUGGAGCUUGGGCUGGUAGCUGAUUAUCAUUGAUGUCCCAGGAGCAGGAGUAGUAAACACUGUUGACGUGUAUAAUUGUAAUUCAUACAUGCAGACACUGCAUCAGUGGAAAAAUACUAAACAACACAAUAGCAGGAACUGAGCAACUGUUAUAACUAGGGGGUGAUACCAGAACAGUAGGAAUCUAUACAUCGACGGAGGGAGGACUCCAAGAAGCGCCAAGAGGCGGGGACCCGCCUGAGCGCCUGCGAUAGGCUGAGCAAGUCUAAACCACGCUCUGCCUCUACUGUGAUAGGCCAACAGACGGGUUGAAACAAUGUCUAUCAUAGUAUAAGAACAACUGUUUACAUACUGUCAGUUCCCUGUUCUGCCCUGCGUGGUAUUACAGUGAGCCCGUAUAUAGGAAUGUUGCAUUUGCCAUUUAUUGCUUAGCUAAUAAAAGUACAUAGAGUACAAUCAGUGACUCAGUGUUAUAACUUGUUCUGAUACCAGAUUCAAAUUUACGCAACUCUAACACUAGCUAGAUUCUUUACAUCCACUGUUUCACAAGACGACAGUCUGGUUUGCUGGUUUUCUCAGGAGUCCCUAAAACAUUAAACACGAAUUACAAAUUCAUUCUCAUGUCAUAACACUAGCUAUCUGGCUAAUGUUAGCUAGUCAGAUAACUUGCUAAAUAGCGAUUUUCGUGAAUUAACUUUAUGACGAGAAAAUAUGCGCAAACGGAGCGUCUUCACUGCAGGUAGAUUGUAUUGGAUGUUGG